CAUGCAAGUCGAACGGUGAACUUGGAGCUUGCUCCAGGGGAUCAGUGGCGAACGGGUGAGUAACACGUGAGUAACCUGCCCCAGACUCUGGAAUAAGCGCUGGAAACGGCGUCUAAUACCGGAUACGAGACAGAGAGGCAUCUCUACUGUCUGGAAAGUUUUUCGGUCUGGGAUGGACUCGCGGCCUAUCAGCUUGUUGGUGAGGUAACGGCUCACCAAGGCGACGACGGGUAGCCGGCCUGAGAGGGCGACCGGCCACACUGGGACUGAGACACGGCCCAGACUCCUACGGGAGGCAGCAGUGGGGAAUAUUGCACAAUGGGCGAAAGCCUGAUGCAGCGACGCCGCGUGAGGGAUGACGGCCUUCGGGUUGUAAACCUCUUUCAGCAGGGAAGAAGCGAAAGUGACGGUACCUGCAGAAGAAGCACCGGCUAACUACGUGCCAGCAGCCGCGGUAAUACGUAGGGUGCGAGCGUUGUCCGGAAUUAUUGGGCGUAAAGAGCUUGUAGGCGGUUUGUCGCGUCUGCUGUGAAAAUCCGGGGCUCAACCCCGGACUUGCAGUGGGUACGGGCAGACUAGAGUAUGGUAGGGGAGACUGGAAUUCCUGGUGUAGCGGUGAAAUGCGCAGAUAUCAGGAGGAACACCGAUGGCGAAGGCAGGUCUCUGGGCCAUUACUGACGCUGAGAAGCGAAAGCAUGGGGAGCGAACAGGAUUAGAUACCCUGGUAGUCCAUGCCGUAAACGUUGGGCGCUAGGUGUGGGACUCAUUCCACGAGUUCCGUGCCGCAGCUAACGCAUUAAGCGCCCCGCCUGGGGAGUACGGCCGCAAGGCUAAAACUCAAAGGAAUUGACGGGGGCCCGCACAAGCGGCGGAGCAUGCGGAUUAAUUCGAUGCAACGCGAAGAACCUUACCAAGGCUUGACAUAUACCGGAAACACCUAGAGAUAGGUGCCCCUUUUGGUCGGUAUACAGGUGGUGCAUGGUUGUCGUCAGCUCGUGUCGUGAGAUGUUGGGUUAAGUCCCGCAACGAGCGCAACCCUCGUUCUAUGUUGCCAGCACGUAAUGGUGGGGACUCAU
rnacentral:rRNA from 1 species